AACGCGAAGAACCUUACCAGGUCUUGACAUCCUUUUGCCCUCUCUAGAGAUAGAGACUUCCCUUCGGGGACAAAAGUGACAGGUGGUGCAUGGUUGUCGUCAGCUCGUGUCGUGAGAUGUUGGGUUAAGUCCCGCAACGAGCGCAACCCUUGAUCUUAGUUGCCAGCAUUUAGUUGGGCACUCUAAGGUGACUGCCGGUGACAAACCGGAGGAAGGUGGGGAUGACGUCAAAUCAUCAUGCCCCUUAUGACCUGGGCUACACACGUGCUACAAUGGAUGGUACAAAGAGCUGCAAACCCGCGAGGGUAAGCGAAUCUCAUAAAGCCAUUCUCAGUUCGGAUUGUAGGCUGCAACUCGCCUACAUGAAGCCGGAAUCGCUAGUAAUCGUGGAUCAGCAUGCCACGGUGAAUACGUUCCCGGGCCUUGUACACACCGUGUCGA
rnacentral:rRNA from 1 species